rnacentral:rRNA from 1 species
AUUGAACGCUGGCGGCAGGCCUAACACAUGCAAGUCGAGCGGAUGAAGGGAGCUUGCUCCUGGAUUCAGCGGCGGACGGGUGAGUAAUGCCUAGGAAUCUGCCUGGUAGUGGGGGAUAACGUCCGGAAACGGGCGCUAAUACCGCAUACGUCCUGAGGGAGAAAGUAGGGGAUCUUCGGACCUCACGCUAUCAGAUGAGCCUAGGUCGGAUUAGCUAGUUGGUGGGGUAAAGGCCUACCAAGGCGACGAUCCGUAACUGGUCUGGGAGGAUGAUCAGUCACACUGGAACUGAGACACGGUCCAGACUCCUACGGGAGGCAGCAGUGGGGAAUAUUGGACAAUGGGCGAAAGCCUGAUCCAGCCAUGCCGCGUGUGUGAAGAAGGUCUUCGGAUUGUAAAGCACUUUAAGUUGGGAGGAAGGGCAGUAAGUUAAUACCUUGCUGUUUUGACGUUACCAACAGAAUAAGCACCGGCUAACUUCGUG